AAGGAUUUAGGUUAAUUGAAACUCGGGGCCUUCAAAGCUCCACAUAAAGCUUACACUUUAAGCCUUA
rnacentral:tRNA from 1 species